rnacentral:rRNA from 1 species
UAGGUCUCAGUUCAGAUUGCAGGCUGCAACCCGCCUGCAUGAAGUCGGAAUUGCUAGUAAUCGCGGAUCAGCAUGCCGCGGUGAAUACGUUCCCGGGCCUUGUACACACCGCCCGUCACACCAUGGGAGCCGGUAAUACCCGAAGUCAGUAGUCCAACCUCGUGAGGACGCUGCCGAAGGCAGGAUUGGCGACUGGGGUGAAGUCGUAACAAGGUACC